rnacentral:rRNA from 1 species
ACUUGCUCCACGCGUUGGGAGCUCUCCCAUAUGGUCGACCUGCAGGCGGCCGCACUANUGAUUCCUACGGGAGGCAGCAGUAGGGAAUCUUCCACAAUGGCACGAAAGUCUGAUGGAGCAACGCCGCGUGAGUGAAGAAGGAUUUCGGUUCGUAAAACUCUGUUGCAAGGGAAGAACAAGUAGCGUAGUAACUGGCGCUACCUUGACGGUACCUUGUUAGAAAGCCACGGCUAACUAUGUGCCAGCAGCCGCGGUAAUACGUAGGUGGCAAGCGUUGUCCGGAAUUAUUGGGCGUAAAGCGCGCGCAGGUGGUUCCUUAAGUCUGAUGUGAAAGCCCCCGGCUCAACCGGGGAGGGUCAUUGGAAACUGGGGAACUUGAGUGCAGAAGAGGAUAGUGGAAUUCCAAGUGUAGCGGUGAAAUGCGUAGAGAUUUGGAGGAACACCAGUGGCGAAGGCGACUGUCUGGUCUGUAACUGACACUGAGGCGCGAAAGCGUGGGGAGCAAACAGGAUUAGAUACCCUGGUAGUCCACGCCGUAAACGAUGAGUGCUAAGUGUUGGGGGGUUUCCGCCCCUCAGUGCUGCAGCUAACGCAUUAAGCACUCCGCCUGGGGAGUACGGUCGCAAGACUGAAACUCAAAUGAAUUGACGGGGAAUCCCGCGGCCAUGGCGGCCGGGAGCAUGCGACGUCGGGCCCAAUUCG